rnacentral:misc_RNA from 1 species
CAGGGCACCGCCGUUAAUGUACUCUGU